AACGAACGCUGGCGGCAUGCCUAACACAUGCAAGUCGAACGAGACCUUCGGGUCUAAUGGCGCACGGGUGCGUAACGCGUGGGAACCUGCCCUUAGGUUCGGAAUAACUCCCCGAAAGGGGUGCUAAUACCGGAUAAUGUCUUCGGACCAAAGAUUUAUCGCCUUUGGAUGGGCCCGCGUUGGAUUAGCUAGUUGGUAGGGUAAAAGCCUACCAAGGCGACGAUCCAUAGCUGGUCUGAGAGGAUGAUCAGCCACACUGGGACUGAGACACGGCCCAGACUCCUACGGGAGGCAGCAGUGGGGAAUAUUGGACAAUGGGCGAAAGCCUGAUCCAGCAAUGCCGCGUGAGUGAUGAAGGCCUUAGGGUUGUAAAGCUCUUUUACCCGGGAUGAUAAUGACAGUACCGGGAGAAUAAGCUCCGGCUAACUCCGUG
rnacentral:rRNA from 1 species